rnacentral:rRNA from 1 species
GUGGGGAAUAUUGCACAAUGGGCGCAAGCCUGAUGCAGCCAUGCCGCGUGUAUGAAGAAGGCCUUCGGGUUGUAAAGUACUUUCAGCGGGGAGGAAGGCGAUAAGGUUAAUAACCUUGUCGAUUGACGUUACCCGCAGAAGAAGCACCGGCUAACUCCGUGCCAGCAGCCGCGGUAAUACGGAGGGUGCAAGCGUUAAUCGGAAUUACUGGGCGUAAAGCGCACGCAGGCGGUCUGUCAAGUCGGAUGUGAAAUCCCCGGGCUCAACCUGGGAACGGCAGUCGAAACUGGCAGGCUAGAGUCUUGUAGAGGGGGGUAGAAUUCCAGGUGUAGCGGUGAAAUGCGUAGAGAUCUGGAGGAAUACCGGUGGCGAAGGCGGCCCCCUGGACAAAGACUGACGCUCAGGUGCGAAAGCGUGGGGAGCAAACAGGAUUAGAAACCCUAGUAGUCC